ACCUACUACAUAGCCUUAUGAUCAGCAAUAAAAGAGAAAAGAGAGGGUUUCUGGAGGUUCAGACAUCUUUUGCUGAGGAACUGGCUGUAAAUUGAUCUACCCAUAGAAGGGCUGGCACUGCAAAAGGAUAUGGAUGAACAGAGAAUCGUAUCAGUGUUUUCAUCUGUGUGCCUCAAGAACCGCAGGAAGAAUACAAGAGCAAACGACCUCACAAAAAUAUGAUACAUUUUGUUGGUAAGCACCCAGAGGUAUGUAUCUUCUUUUUGUUCCUUUUAUGUAGGGAUUAACACAAUGAGGUCUUGCCAUUGAAACACCCCCAUAAAACACAGAAAUACAAAGAAUCGCAGAGAAUAUCAAGCAGGUAUUCCUUUCGGCCAUGAUUUCUGGAAAGUCACUCCAAAUUUCCUCUCUGUUCUCUGGUCUUCAUUCUCUUAAAAUGAGACAUUUCUCCCAUAUUCCUGUGUUCUUAAUACCAUCAGUUUUACAGUGUUGAGAAAUUCAUGAUGAUUUCUUUUCUUUCCCCACUUCACUGCUGUUAAA